rnacentral:lncRNA from 1 species
UGCAUGCAAUAUUAUUUUCCAUAUAAAAAAUUAUUAAAUUUUAAGUAAAAGAUCUAAAAUAAACUUCAAUAUAGCGGUGAAUUUUCCAAAAUCAUGUAAGUUAUUGUGAUGACAAACUCAUCGUAAUAAUACGAAACAUGCAUGCACGAGAAGUCUUCCCAAGUUUAGAACUCUCCAAAGUCAAUGCAUGCUACUCAACUUGUUGGUGUGAAUCUCUCUUUAAACCAACUCCUUAUCAUGAAUGCAUGUUGAUCAAUCGAUAAAUCCACAACAAGAAGUCAAAAAUCAAAAGUUGAACAUUUGC